UUUUUCCUAUAAAUAGAAAAAUAGAAUGAUCUAUUCUCACAGUUCUGCUGAAUAUUAUUUGAACUUUGGGGAAUUAAAAUGGUAGAUAACCUUGCUGGUAGUUGAUUUUUACUCUAGCAGAAGAACUGAAGUAUGUUUUGCUGGAAAUAGUAUUCAACCUAUAGAGAUGAAGUGUAGCUUUUACUUUGUUUUCUCAUAUAUUUCAAAGCUAUAUUUAAGCAGUGUUAGGAAAAUAUUUAACAAAGUGUGGAUAAUACUGUUCUUUUCUAUAGAACAAAACACAUGGUAAGUUACAAUAUCUUGUCCUAUC
rnacentral:lncRNA from 1 species